GAAGAAAAAGAUUGGAUGCUUUCUGAUUUGGAAAACACUCAUAAGUAUAAGGUCACAGAUCUCGAAGCACAACUGGAAAAUAUGAGGAGAAUGGGAGACAACUUACAGGAGGAUUUUAAAAGGAAACAUGCCGAAUUGGAUCGCUUUGCUCGGGAAAAAGAAGAAAUGUUGGCCAACGCUAAACAAGUUCGUCAGAAGCAACUAAACAUUGAUCAACUUCACUAUCAGUUGACAACAGAGAAUCGUCGGGCCAGCGAAGAAAUGAAUGUUUUGAAGCAGCAGAACUCUGAUCUCAAGCUGCCGGUAACCCAAGCAAGACAACAGGCUGACCAAUUUUACAAAACGGGUUUGGAGAGAAAUAUUGAUGCCGUAUCAUUAUAAUAAACCAGUUGUCAGCAUGCAUUAAAAUUGGAUCUUGCCAGUCACGGAAAACCUUUGAAUAUACGU